AACAGGGUUGAAAUCCAACCUACUCCGAGUGUCAGCCUUCUGUCUUCCUCCUCAGCCCACCCCCUAGGGCCAUCUCCCACUAGGAGACUGAGGGAGAGGAGUCCUUACCCCACACCCCUCCUGAGUUGCUCUCUUCCCACUGUUCCUCACACUUCACAGCUGGUAAUCACUUGAAGCAUUGAUUGGGUUCGCAAGAAGCAAGAGUGGGUGACUGUGGGCUGGCCACAUGCCCCUUCACUGCCUGUCCCCUCCUCCACUCAACACCACACAAGAUUGUAGGAGGGAUCAACCUCAGCUCAAGAGUCAAAGAGAUGAGAAGCAUCAGAGCAGCAGCGUAGCUUGGAGACCAUACACCAGGUUCCUGACACCAGUCCCCGGGGCAGGACAGCUGAGUCUCCAUGAUGCUCAGAGAAGGGAUAAAAUGGAAACAGAUGCAAAAUUUCACGGAAAAGGCACUUUUGCUUUCAAACAUUUAUAAGCAUAACCAGUCAUUACAGAUAAGGAAAAAGAACAUAGUAGGUUGCUAUGGUCUGAAUGUGUCUCACAAAAUUUAUAUAUUGAAACAUAAUCCCCAUGAGAUAGUUUUAAGAGGCAGGGCCUUUAGGAGGUGAUUAAGUCAUCAGGUAGAGCCCUUCCAGAUGGGGUUAGGGCCCUUAUCAAAGGGCUCGAGGGAGGAGGUUCAUUCUCUUCUGCUGUGAGGACACAGUGUUUGUCCUCUUUCUGCCCGUCUGCCUUCCACCAUGUGAUGCAGUGGUCAAGGCCUCAGCAGACAUCAAACCUGCCUGUGCCUUGGUCUUGGACUUCCAGCCUCCAUAACUCUCUGUGGUUUAUAAAUUACCCAGCCUCAGAUAUUUUGUUACAGCAGCCCAGACAGAACAAGACACAGGUGUAAGUGAAGCCACUUGCAGAAGGGUUCCCAUGCGAAGUGAGGUGGGAGGAGACCCACACUAAGGAGCUACAACAUGGUGGGGGAAAGAGCAACAGGCGGGGAGUCCACGCUCCUGCUAAAUCUGGCCUUCUCCCUUCACAGGUGGCCUCCUGUGGUCACGCCUGUCCCUGCUGCUGCUUGCCGUCCUUGGGUUCACCCCCUCUGUCCACAGGCCCUCCCUUCUGCACCCCUCACUGCGUGGCCCUCUACCUACCUUUGCAGGCCUCCCAAUCCCCCCAGUGGGAUAUUCCCAAGCCUCAGGUUCACCCAACCCUACCCCUGAGCAGGCCUGGGUGUGGAGGCCAGGAGAACACGCCCUGCAGCCCAACGAAACGCAGGGAGAGGAAGUGUCCAAGGCCAAAGGGGCUGCACUCUGAAGGGACUGAGCACAGGAGGACAUGAAGGGAGGCAGUCCCCGGGAGAGGUGGGCUCCUCCAAGGGUGCCUUUGGCUGGAGCACUCUUGCACGGCCGUGGAAUCUUCCUUAGACUCCAUGGCAGUCUAGGAUGCAUCCUCCCAACCUGCUCUCCCUCCUCCCCUCAGGGUCUGCCCUGAGUCCUGGUCUGAAAACUCCUCAGACAGCCUCCCUCUGACUUUCCUCACCUGGGCAUCUCCUCCAACAAAAUCUUGGCAUUUUUAAUCCCCUCUUGGCAUCUGCUUCUCAGAGGCCCUGGACUGGUGCAUGAGGCUCUUCAGAUGGGAUGUGAACUGUCAGAGAGCUUGGCAGGAGGCCCUUUGGAGUCCCACAGAACAACUCAGGAAAGGGGGCUUCCCUGACCCAAUGUCCAGCGUGGAGGCCCUAGGGGGCAGGCAUUCUGAGCCUCCCCACCUGUGUGGGCUGAAGGCGUGUCUUUGACUCUUGUGAUCCAGCAGACAGCUGUGGAAAUACAAACACAUACAGAGAAACAUGUGUCUCCCCCAGUACCCCAGCGGGAUGCACUCUCAGUCCUUCCGCCUUACCACUGUCUUCACGGAGAAAUUCCGUUCCUGCUGUGGCGCCUGGCAACUGCUUCACUACCUCUGUAGCCAUGAGACAGCCUGAGUCCUCCAUGGUGGGAUUGUGUGUGACAAUGAGAAGACAGCCCAACUCCUCUUUCCCUGAUGCAGUCCGGCCCCUCUGUGCUGUGUAGCCUCACCAGGUUCCCAACACUGAUGAGGUUACACGCCCAGCAUUUACUCCUCAGACUGGACCUGGAGCAUCCCGCCGCUGGACCUGAGUGAAGACCAGAGUCAACAGACGGUUUUCUCUUUCUCUUAAAGAAGUUUGGAACAUUUGAAACAUAUUAUCCUAUUCAUGACUAAUAUUCCAACAGGAGUCAUUCAGAUAAACAAAAAGCCUUUCCAGGUGCUUGUCUGAUUUAGAGGAAGGCAGCACAUUCCCAUUCACACAACAGAGGGGCCAGGUGCCUCUGAAAGAAGAGCUGAUGUGUGGGGCUGAAAACAGGAUCACUGGUUGAAAGUGCCUAUAGGAAACAGACUCCCCAGCCUAGGGUUUGAGGUUGACUCUGGAGAAACCCAGGAAGGGUGUGGAUUUGGGUUCUGCAUUACUUAGGGUGGGGGGCGAGGCGUGUCCUGGAGAGAGGGGGUUGUGUGAAAAUCUGCAUACAGGGUGACUGACCCAUGACUCCCUUCCUCUACUCAGCACCCAGGUGCCUCAUCCCAGCCGUGUAGGACUCUAGGGAAAUCCAAUGGGCUGAGAGGAAAGACCUCCUAGUACUGAUGCCUGAGUGUUCCUCCACCUGGCAGGACCAAAUGCAGCCCUCUCCCUCACAGCUUCCGAUGAGCUGACUAGUGGCGCUUUCUUAAAUGACGGGCAGCCAAGGGUAAUCAGACAUUUGAGGAAAGGCUUUAACAUGAAAAAGAAAGGUCAAGGCAAACAGAGAAAGGAAACCUGGAGUAAGUAGAGGCCUAGCAGGGGGCAAAAUAAAUGUCUAAAACCCUUACCUACCUUCAGAGAGAAAAGACGAUAUUAUAGAUGUCAAACAAGACGCUAGAAAAAAAGACUCCAAGAACAAGAAAGAGCACUUGGAAAUUUAAAUAUUAGAGCAGAUAAAAUGAUCUGAAAACAAAGCUAAGAAAAUCUCCCAAUAGUUUUUGUUAAGGAACAAUAAUAGGAGAGAAAAGAUAAGGAAAGGAUAGAAUCCAUGCAGGAGAGUCAGCAAUCACAGGAUGAUAGGAGGUGGCAGCCAUGAGAAUGUACCUGGCCAACUUGCAGCUGCAGCUGCUGAGGCCCUCCACAGCCUCUGCUCCAAGCACACAGUCUGUGGGCUGCUCCUAGUCACUGAGUGAGGCAGAGCACCAAGGCAGGCCAGUUCUUGGAAGAGGUAGGCUCUCUGAUGGGGCUUCAGCUCCGUGACAGCUGUCCCCUACGAGGUGCACCCUCCAACCCUC
rnacentral:lncRNA from 1 species